AUUAACAAAAUAAAAUGGAUAAACUAUCACGAAAGGGAGUGAGCUAAACAGAUAUGUUAUUAACAAUACGUAGUAUAGUAUUUUUAUAAUAUGUGUUUAGGGGUGAUAGGCUUUUCAAACUUUCUUAUAACUUGAUUCAUAUGAAAAGUAUUUAGUACAAAAACAUGCUUAAAAAGUUAAGCUUUUAAGCAAUUAUUAAAAAUAUUUUUUCUAUCUAAUGUAGUAUAAUAACUAGUUAUUUAAAAAAUUAAUAUUCUUUAUAUAUUUUUAUAAUAAAUAAUAUGAUGGCUUAAGUUGUUUUAAGGCUUAAUAAUGUUAAUAUUAGUAUUAUAGUUUAAGUGUAUUAAAGGAACUCGGCAAAUUAACCGCUCAACUGUUUAUCAAAAACAUAGCUAUAUGAAUUAAUAUAUAGUUAUUUCUGCUCCAUGAUUAUUAAAUAGCCGCAGUACCCUGACUGUGCAAAGGUAGCAUAAUCAGUUGGCUUUUAAUUAGAGUCUGGUAUGAAUGAAAAUAUGGGUGGUAGCUGUCUUUAGUAUAUUAGUUUGAAAUUAUUAAGCAAGUGCAAAUUCUUGCAAGUUUCAAAAAGACGAGAAGACCCUAGAAACUUAUGAUAGUUUUUGUUGGGGCGACAGAAUUACAUUUAACUAAUUUUAAAUACAUGACAUUUAAUUGAAAGAACAAGUUACUCUAGGGAUAACAGCAUAAUUUUAACAGUUUGUGACCUCGAUGUUGGACUAGGUAUUAUAUCCUUAAGACAAGGAUAUAGAAUGCUCUGUUCGAGCAAUUUUACCUACAU
rnacentral:rRNA from 1 species